rnacentral:lncRNA from 1 species
UAUGUAGCCAGUCUACAGAUGAAGAAAUAAAACACUUCUUGUAUCCCAGAAGUGCCUCCAUGUUACGUUGCAGUCAUUACCCUCCCAAGGGUAACCAUAUUCAAAGGGUCUUACAAUGUGACUAAUCUAACAGAUGAUUUAAAAGCUUUGUACAAAGUUGCUGGUGCUGAUGGAAAAGGCAUCACUUUCAUCUUUACUGACAGUGAAAUAAAAGAUGAGGCAUUUCUAGAAUACCUUAACAACUUG